rnacentral:lncRNA from 1 species
AAAGUAACCCAAAUCAAUAAGUUAUAGCAUUGAAACAGAAAAUAUAAGAAUUCAGGAAAAUAUUCAUGUUUACAGUAAAUUGGUAAGUUAUCUAUGAUAGUAAGACCAUGAUCUCAAAGAUAAACAUUAUAUUCAUCAAUUAUCAUUUACGAUCAUAAAUUAUUUCAGUGUGUUCAAUUUAGUUGAAGACAAUUUGCUGUUGCCAUGGCCUGACAUUUUUUUAAUUGGAUUAUUUAAUACUUAUUUAAGCUCACUUUUACCAUAACAGUAAUCUUUCCUCAUAUCUUUAGCCCUGUAUUUUUUUCAAUAAUCGUUUGAAAGAAUCUCAAUUUCUGACACCAUUGAUUUGAUUUAAACUUCUCCUUUAUGGAUCUACUUAAAGUCAAAUAAUUGUGGCCUAGUAUACUAACCAGAAUGGUUGUCAUUACUGUAAAUUGAAUAUAUGAGAAUAAAAUUAAAUGUAAAAUAUAUUUGAUUUCCUUAUUACAUUUUUGAAAUUCAAAUAUUUUUGGGAGAUUGAAAAAACAUUGAGGUCAUUUAUAAAUGUAUAACAAUUAGGUUACAGAUAGGAUUCGAAAUCAAAAUGACAGACUUCUAAUAGCUCUUUGUAUAAGAAAAUUAAAAAAAUGUAGCUGUGAAGACAAUUGUUUUGUUGUAAUUGUUGUUAUAUAGUAGCUAUUUUUGUAGUAGUUAGUGACAUUCCAGAUAAAUAACGAUAUUUUGUCAUUCAGGAGUCCAGGUCACAUCUAUUAUUUUAUCUUUUUCUCAUCCAAAACUCAUUAACAAAUUUCACUUAAUAUCCAUCUAUACCAUUCAAUGACCUUAGUUAGGAUUAAGUCUUAGAUAGGAAUUUGUCUUUUAUAGAACCAAUAAAUGAGUGUUGCUAUCAGAAGGUAUCAAUACUUAGAUUUAUCUGUUAAUUUACUGGAUUAAAAAGAGCCUAUUCCAGCUGUAUUUAGACUACAUUGUCACUUAAUUCAAUGUAAAUAGAUGUUCUAGCACUGCAUCAAGUGUGAUACAAUAUUUCUCCACUCAAGACAGUUUAAUUUUUAAAUUCAAAUUGUGAAGCUAGCAGUGCAUUUUAAGUAUUUAUAAUUUAACUCGAAAGUAAAAAAAAAAGUAUUGUAUUGAACAAGAUUCAGUGGAGGAAUUUAUUUUUCUAUUGAUUUUGAUUUUUAGUCAAAAUGUAGGCAAAUGUUUUACAUGUACUUCAUUUUUACUGAUCUGCAAAAAAGAUGUUAUCUUUCACCAGCAACAUAGUAUCUUAAAAUCAAACAACCACAUGUUGACUAUGAAAAAUAAAGGCUACGAGUUGGGAAAAGUAUUUAUCAGCUAAGAGGUAAAGAGUUGUACCUACAUACAUGUACAUGUAUCAUGUUACAAAGUUGUCUUGAUGUGAAAUAUAUCAUCUUAAUAAAUUGUUUGCAGCAAUG